rnacentral:rRNA from 1 species
UAAGGGGGGCGGGGGCCUGAUCUAGCCAUGCCGCGUGUGUGAUGAAGGUCUUAGGAUCGUAAAGCACUUUCGCCAGGGAUGAUAAUGACAGUACCUGGUAAAGAAACCCCGGCUAACUCCGUGCCAGCAGCCGCGGUAAUACGGAGGGGGUUAGCGUUGUUCGGAAUUACUGGGCGUAAAGCGUACGUAGGCGGAUUGGAAAGUUGGGGGUGAAAUCCCAGGGCUCAACCCUGGAACUGCCUCCAAAACUAUCAGUCUAGAGUUCGAGAGAGGUGAGUGGAAUUCCAAGUGUAGAGGUGAAAUUCGUAGAUAUUUGGAGGAACACCAGUGGCGAAGGCGGCUCACUGGCUCGAUACUGACGCUGAGGUACGAAAGUGUGGGGAGCAAACAGGAUUAGAUACCCUGGUAGUCCACACCGUAAACGAUGAAUGCCAGUCGUCGGGCAGUAUACUGUUCGGUGACACACCUAACGGAUUAAGCAUUCCGCCUGGGGAGUACGGUCGCAAGAUUAAAACUCAAACAAAUUUGACGGA